rnacentral:piRNA from 1 species
UAAAGAGAAACGGGAUGAGUGGAUG